ACGGGGUCCUGGUGCUGUGAUCGGGGUCCUGGUGCUGUGAUCGGGGUCCUGGUGCUGUGAUCGGGGUCCUGGUGGUGUGAACGGGGUCCUGGUGGUGUGAACGGGGUCCUGGUGGUCGUGAACGGGGUCCUGGUGCUGUGAUCGGGGUCCUGGUGCUGUGAUCGGGGUCCUGGUGGUGUGAACGGGGCUCCUGGUGCUGUGAUCGGGGUCCUGGUGGUCGUGGACGGGGUCCUGGUGGUCGUGAACGGGGUCCUGGUGGCUGUGAAACGACGACCCCUGCGCGAGACCCCGGUUUCGAACCGUCAGACAUGUCGAGGAGACGCGGAGGGGACGAGAAGGGGUCCAAGAUCCCGUCGAGAUUCCGGGUAGAACGUGGAGACGGUGACACUUCCAGGGCAUCGUCCUUUGGGCCAGCCUUGCCUCCUGCAUUCCGGCCGCAGCAGAAGGUGGAGGAUGAGGAGGAGGAGGAGGAAGAAAUCGGACCAGUCUUGCCCCCUGGGUUUCGACGGCAGAAGGAGGAUGAGGAUGACGACGAUGACGAGGAGGAGGAGGAGGGGGGCAUUGGGCCAGCCUUGGCCCCCGGGUUUUCUGGGCAAAGCGGCACAGCCAGUGGAUCAGGGCGGAGCCCAGUGCGCAAGAAUACUGAUGACGAUGAUGACGGCUACUUUGGACCAGCGUUGCCACCUGGGUUUGCGCCGCGGGCAUCCAUCAUUGGCCCCACCAUACCCCCAGGUGUCACCGAGCAGGACGACAGUGACUCAGAUGGGGAGAUCAUAGGGCCCAUGCCGGCUGAAGGCCCCAUUCAGUCGCGAGUGGCCGAGGAGAUUGAGCUGCGUUCGCAGCGCAUGAAGGACAAGCUCCUGGGCAAGACGGACGAGGGCCCUGUGGUGCGCGAGUCCUGGAUGAUGGAGCUGCCUGACGACGCGAAGACGUUUGGGCUGGGGCCGCGCUCGUUCCGUCGCAAGGCGGCGCCCGACGCCGGCGACCGCUCCGUGUGGACCGACACGCCGGCGGACCGCGAGCGCCGGGCCAGGGAGGGGGACUCCGACAAAGCCGGUGGGAGCGGCAAGAAGAAGAGGAAGCACAAGGUGGAGAGUGAGCCCUCCGAGCAAGACCUUCAGCUGGCCGAUGCGGUGGCGGCCUAUAACGAGGCCAACCGCGGCGUGUCGCUGAUGGACCAGCACAAGCGCAAGCGCAAGUCGGGUGGGGCGGCCACAGGCCCCCCGCCGCCACGCCGGCCGUUCGAUCGCGACGUCGACCUGCAGGGGGGCCGCGUGGACGGCAGGAAGCGGCAGGACAUCAUCGACAAGUCCCGGCUGCUGGGCUCGCGGUUCUCCCACGGCAACAGCCGCAUGUUCCUGUGACGGCACCUAGGGGGAGCCCCUCGCCGCGGCCGUUGCGUUCGUCGCGUUGCCGCCCGCGGGGGAAACCGCCCGUAGGUUCGCACCAUCUCUGCAGGGUCCCGGAGUGAAGAGGCCCGGUUGUGAACGUGGCGGAUGGGGCCUUGGACCGCCCUGCACGAAAGGAUUGUCACGGGCAUUGCAGUCAGUGGCGUAGCCGCGGUUGAUUGGCAGUGGGGGGGCUACGUGGUGGACAGCAGAGGGGCAGUGCGGUGAAAUCCAUUGCUGUACUGUACUUCUAUGCUCCCACAUUCAUGACGUACACCUUUACCAACACACAGACCGGUAUGGUGAAGUAUUGUCAAAUAACCUCCCACAACUCACAUAAUAUAGAUGUACAGUUUGGAUUUAUAACAUAAAUGGGAUUGCAUAGGGAUAAGAACGGAGAGGUAGGAGAGUGCGUGGAGGGGAGUAGAGUGAGAUGAGAGAGGUAGGAGCGUGCGUGGAGGGGAGUAGAGUGAGAUGAGAGAGGUAGGAGAGUGCGUGGAGGGUAGUAGAGUGAGAUGAGAGGGGAGAAACAGGCAGGGGUCAGUCCAUGCAGGAUCUCGAAGACGGUGAGUGUGAUAUUGUAGUUGGCGUGGGAUUGGAUUGGGGGCCAGUGGAGGGAUCUGUGUGUCGGGCGAUGUCUCAUUUACAGGUGCGGGUUGAGAAGUGAGACAGCAUUUUUUGUUACAUGAAUGUUUGAAGAAUCACUUUAGAUCGGCUUUUACUCUCGACCAAGGCAUGUCACGUAUAUACUUUGGCAAUAAACCAUUGCUUUUUA